rnacentral:lncRNA from 1 species
AGUAUAUGCAUAUGCAAAUAUAGAAGUGUGGAAAUUGAAUGACCACCUCUGAUGACAUCUUAAACAAUAACCUAAACAUCAGAGAAAGAACUUCUGGUGUGAUUCCUGCAUCUUCUUGCCACUUCUGUGGACUCCAACCAAUGGGAAUACCUCUCAGUUUACAAUGUAUUGAACUGCAACUGCCAUUUCACAUGUGCUGUCUGCCAAGUGGACUGAACUGAGAACAAUGAAGAUGGAAAUCACCCCAAAGAACAAUUUCUAAACUAGUCCACUUUCCCCAUAUCCUAAUGAUCUUUCUUUUCUACUACCUCUGACUCUGUUGACUGACUGAGCUGGCUUGGUCAGAUGGCACCUCAAUGUUGGAAUGCAAGUACAAAAGGUACAGUGAAACACAAUACAGGAAAGGAUGGGUGUGCAAAGAAAAGUUUGGGCCAGUGAUGAAUAAAUUCUGUAAAGGACAAGUGGUCAAUCAACUGGCUUUGUUGUUGCUGUUGUUGUUGUUGACAUCACCGUCCUUGUCGUCAUUGUUUCCUGUGCUGGCAGAGCCUCUGAGAGAACAGCAGUACCAAGUUCCUGUCUACAAGAACAUCUUGGCAUCAGCAAUAGUGUCAGAGUUUUCGGCAGAUGGGAAGGAUCCAAAGUGAGCUUCAUAUGGUCUGGGAGAUAUAUCAUGGAUAUUCUGAGAAUUUGGACUAAGAUCCAUUUAUCAGAGAGAACUUCCCCUUGCUUCCUGGCCCUGGUUGAUCCUACUCACUCGUGGUGAUUUGGUGGAGGCCUAGCAGUUUCUGCUAGAUCAUGCGACCACUUCUGAUUUGUGUUUGCUAUCCUGACAUUGUGGAACUGGACUGGUAUCCUGAAAAAGAGAUAUUGGAAUCACCCCAAAGAACCACUUCUAAACAA